CAACACUGAAUUAAGAGUGAAGGAAAACACUGUCGAUAAAAUGCCAGAUAGACUGUAGAUGUUCAAGGUUGAUGGACCAGAGCCUCUUGCAUCCAUACCUGUGACAGAUGAAAAAGGAGCUGCAUUCAGUCAGAAGCCUCCAGCAAGAGCAAUAUCAGCUUCUCUUCUGGUCUUAGAUCCAGUGCACACUCCUGGCAGAGUUCUACAAACUUGACAAGCAGAGAAACCUGAGAAUGUUGUGGGAGACAAGGUACGCAAUUUGGAACUGUAUGCUGGAUUCCUCUUGUUUGGCCACUUCCUGUGAAACCAGACACCAACUUUGACUUCAUAUGGUGAAAAUGGCAAGAUGCUUUCAUUCCUGAAGACAUAUCUGGGCGUGUCAGGAGAGGUGACUACA